CCUACGGGUGGCUGCAGUAAGGAAUAUUGGUCAAUGGACGAAAGUCUGAACCAGCCAUGCCGCGUGGAGGAUGAAGGUCCUCUGGAUUGUAAACUUCUUUUCUAUGGGACGAAAAAAGGCCUUUCUAGGCCGUCUGACGGUACCAUAUGAAUAAGCACCGGCUAACUCCGUGCCAGCAGCCGCGGUACUACGGAGGGUGCCGGCGUUAUCCGGAUUCACUGGGGUUAAGGUGGGCGUAUAAGGCAGUAUUGAAAUCUACGAGCUUAACUUGGAAACUGCCAUUGAUACUAUUAAUCUUGAAUAUUGUGGAGGUUAGCGGAAUAUGUCAUGUAGCGGUGAAAUGCUUAGAUAUGACAUAGAACACCAAUUGCGAAGGCAGCUGGCUACACAUAUAUUGACACUGAGGCACGAAAGCGUGGGGAUCAAACAGGAUUAGAUACCCUGGUAGUC
rnacentral:rRNA from 1 species